UACGAGGGGGGCGAGCGUUGUUCGGAAUUAUUGGGCGUAAAGGGUGCGUAGGCGGUUCCGCAAGUCCUGUGUGAAAUCUUCGGGCUCAACUCGAAGUCUGCACGGGAAACUGCCGGGCUUGAGUAUGGGAGAGGUGAGUGGAAUUCCUGGUGUAGCGGUGAAAUGCGUAGAUAUCAGGAGGAACACCUGUGGCGAAAGCGGCUCACUGGACCAUAACUGACGCUGAUGCACGAAAGCUAGGGGAGCGAAUGGG
rnacentral:rRNA from 1 species